UCCUCAGAGUAAAUGACUGAAGAAAAAAAAUGCAGGGAGUUUUUGGGCAGAGACAGCCAGGUCUUUGCCAUAGGACUUGGAUCAGCAGGGCUUUAUUUCUAAUGGCUAACUCUAGAAUUUAAAUUACUCUUGUUCCUUCAAUCCAGCAGUGAAGUUCAACAUUCAUCAAAAUUCCAGGCAUGCCAUGCUGUUCUAUAGAAUUAAAUUGUUUAAAUUAACCAAUAACUUAGAUGGCAGCAC